ensembl:lncRNA
GCUCUAAAAGGAAGGGUGGGCUGGGAUUACCCAAGUUCUAUGUUGAAUAAGGCGCUGGCUCUUCCUCUUCAGCAGGCAUCAGGUUCAGCUGGCAGUGGGUAUGUGAAAACAGACGACUGGCUCCCACCUCCAGAGUUUCUAAAUCGAUCCAAAUAAGAUCAAUAACUUCUAACGAAUGGGAAUGUUGCCUGGCAGCCUAAAAGAGAUUGCUAUAACUUAGUAUUAGACAGAAAUCCUACGCCUUCCUGACACAUUGCUUAAUUGAGGAUAGAAGAAAACAACAGCAUUCACUUGUUGAGUUCACAUAAAAGAUUCAAGUCACCAGGUCCAGCCCACACUCCAGAGAAGGAGAUUGCACAAGGACAGAUGGAGAUCUUCAGAGAGCAUCUGACAAGCCACCCUACUAUGCUGCAAUUAAGUGCAAGAAUCAGGAUUUGAAUCCAAGUAUUUGGACAGCAGAGCCCAUUCUCCUAGGUGUGCCAAUGGUUCAAAGCCGCCUCUGCCCUCUCGGUGCUGGAGCACAUUGCAGUCAGCUGACUAUAGGACUCUUUAUUUCUAACCUUCUACUUCUGCAAACCCACAUCUAAUAAACAGAAUCUUCUGUAGAAGAUUUAGAAUAUUGAUCAGGUUAUAGUCAAAUUUCCACUUGAUCAUCACUUUAAGCUGAUUUUACUUGUAUCUGUCACAAGGCAUGAUGCAUACAUUUUUAUCUUUUAACUCCUAAAUGAAGAUCUUUUUCCUGGAUUAUUUAGUCUCCUCAAAUCAAUUAUUUGGAACACAAAUCAUUUCUAAAGUAAAACAUAUUUCCUAUGUUAAACACUAAUUUUUAAUACCAAGAAAAUAAUUCUAGAUUAAAUAUAGUGAUCAAUCUAAAUUAAUCUUUUACUAAUACAAGGCAGUUUUAUAUUUCCAUAUAUAUUAUAAAGUUAAACAUAAUCCUUAAUUACUAUUACUUUCCAAACUGUAAUGGCACAUGAGUAUCUGCACAGAUAUGCAAGUUGAACUGUAUGUAUCAUUAAAGACAAGAGGAAAUUAUUAAGUCUUAUAACAGUAAUCUUUUAAGUUCUCCUUUCCUCUUAUUUAUUUUUCUUAAUGCACAAUGUGAAUAUUCAUUAAAUAAUCAGAGCCCAUAUCCAAAGGUAUCAGAAUUUUGCCAGUGGAUAUGCAUUAAAUAUUUCCCACUGAAUUAUAUUAUAAUAUUUUAAACAGUUUUUCUAUUUUCAAAUCAUUUUCAGUUCAUGGAGAUUUCAAAUAUCUCAGGUUUAGGCUCUUCCGCCCCCCAGGCUCAGACUCUCAUUGAAGUGAAUCCUGAUUUAUACAUAAACAGCUAGACUAGUGGAGCGUCUAUUUAUAAAACUUUACAGUGGUUCAACUAUAAGACAAAGCAUUCCCACUUAACCUAUUUGUCUAUAAAUGCAAAUUUCUGUCUUUCAAGUCUGAAAGCAGAAUAAACCUAUUGUUAAGAACAGACUCUGAAACACGAAAAUGCUAUAUUUCUCCAGUAAAUUUUAACAGGUCAAUCCAAAUUGUUAUUGCUUGCUUUUAAAAGGAAAUCAUCAAAGAGCUCCACAUUUCUGAAUAAUCUCUUUAGAUUUGUGGUAUUUCAUGUCAACAUUCAGACUAUUUGUACAGCUCCCCUUUAAUUUUAUUCUAUCCCU